UUGGAGGGCAAGUCUGGUGCCAGCAGCCGCGGUAAUUCCAGCUCCAAUAGCGUAUAUUAAAGUUGUUGCAGUUAAAAAGCUCGUAGUUGAAUUUCGGGAUCAGAGUGUCGGUCGUGCCUCGGUACGCACUGGUAUUAUUGGUUCCUACCUUCUGAAGAACCGCGAUGUCAUUAAUUUGGUGUCGUGGGGAAUCAGGACUGUUACUUUGAAAAAAUUAGAGUGUUUAAAGCAGGCUUACGCUUGAAUACAUUAGCAUGGAAUAAUGAAAUAGGACGUUUGAUUCUAUUUUGUUGGUUUCUAGGAUUGACGUAAUGAUUAAUAGGGAUAGUUGGGGGCAUUAGUAUUCAAUUGUCAGAGGUGAAAUUCUUGGAUUUAUUGAAGACUAACUACUGCGAAAGCAUUUGCCAAGGAUGUUUUCAUUAAUCAAGAACGAAAGUUAGGGGAUCGAAGACGAUCAGAUACCGUCGUAGUCUUAACCAUAAACUAUGCCGACUAGGGAUCGGAUGAUGUUAAUUUUUUAAUGACUCAUUCGGCGCCUUACAGGAAAC
rnacentral:rRNA from 1 species